AUGGAGGGGGGUGGCCUUCUUCUUCUCUGCGGCCUCCUCGGUGAGGGCCGACGGUGCAGCCGUCGGUUUCCAAGCUCUUUUGCCGUCAGUGGGAGCUGCGGGAGGGAGGCCGACCGUCGCCAGAGAGGCAGUGGCCACUCCGACGGCCCCGGCGGCGGCGUGGGGUGGUUUUUCGGCGGUGACAAGCCGACGACGGUGGUCGGUGGGGUGCUGGAAGUGUCUUGGCUACCCAAUCCGGUGAUGGAGGCGGUCAUUGGUGGCGACGGCGGCGCGUGGGCCAGCGACGGCAGGAAGGAUGCAGCCGCGCGGGCGCUGGGUAUAUUUAGCCGGGAGGGAGGGGGUGGGGGCGGAUUUCGGCGGGGGAGUGAAAAGUUUGAAUUUAGAGAACCAGUUAGGCAAACGACCGUCACAACUCACAAACGGCGUGUGCCACCCUUUCGCUCCGGAGUCCGGCUACAAAGGCCCCUCCCCAACCCCAAUCUGGGAUUCUGGGGAGACCUCAAGCCAUUAGCACAUCCCGUUCACGACCAUGGCUCUCUACCGCCUACCCCUCUUCCUCCUCAUCCUCAUAGCCAUCGUACCCCUGUUCACCGCCUCCGCUUCCCACAGCCAGCUCUCGCCGGAGCACGCCGCCGCGCGCCGCCGCCACCACACUUCCCCCGCCACCGCCUGCGCGGCCACCGUCCAAUUCCACCCCGCCACCAGCGCCACCUCCUCCAUGCCCCAAAACCACCUCGGGAUGGAGCACAGCCCGUCACCACUCGAAGCCACGGCGGGGAACCCCCAUGCACUGCCCGUGCCGCCCCAAGCAGCCACGCCGCCGCCUCCACCCCAGGCACCGGCACUGCUGCUGCAGGAGGACUCGGACUCGGAGGGGUCGUCAUCUGCUUCGGCCUCUCCAUCCGCGGCCGCGUCCACGACAACGACGACGCUUCUACCGCUCCUCAAUCAGCGCGCCGCGGCGGCAUCAGCAAGCUCUGCGUCUCCUGUCCAAGCCGGCGUCGCGAGGGUGGUAGGCUGGGGCAGCGAAGAGGGGCUGCUGCGCUGGCGAGGGUGCUUACGGCGCUGGGGUACGACGAGAUGGCAUCGGCGGCGACGCACCACCCCAACUUACCGCCGCUCGCGAGGUGGCACGGGCCGAUCACCGUCUUCGCGCCUCCCGACAUCUCCCUCCAGACCUCGUGCUCCAUGUGCUCGCGCCGCCGCCUCCUCCUGGACCACAUCGCCUUGGGCUACUACCCGUACUCCGAGCUCACCGCCGCCCCCACCAUCAAGAUUCCAUCGGCCUCCGUCAACCUCUGCCUCAACAUCGACACCGUGAGCGCCACCUUCUCCGUCCACCACGCCAGGCUCUUCGUCGAAGGCGUCGAGAUUUCCCACCCUGAGGUCUACAACGACGGCCGCUACAUCGUCCAUGGCCUCCGCACCUUCCUGCAACCGCUCUCACGCUACUCCUGCUUCGACCGCUCGCACUCGUACCACUGCCACGGCGACAGCAUGCCAACCCGGUCGGACGCGACCUCCGUCUCCAUGUCCGCGAUGCGUGUGAGCAUCAGGAUCCGCGAGGCCAUCGCCCGUCUCCGCGAUGCACGUUAG
rnacentral:rRNA from 1 species